rnacentral:rRNA from 1 species
AUUGAACGCUGGCGGCAGGCCCAACACAUGCAAGUCGAACGAGUGGCGGACGGGUGAGUAAUGUCUGGGAAACGGCCCGAUGGAGGGGGAUAACUACUGGAAACGGUAGCUAAUACCGCAUACCAUCGGAUGUGCCCAGAUGGGAUUAGCUAGUAGGUGGGGUAACGGCUCACCUAGGCGACGAUCCCUAGCUGGACUGAGAGGAUGACCAGCCACACUGUAACGUAGCCACGGUCCAGACUCCUACGGGAGGCCGCAGUGGGUAAUAUUGCACAGUGGGCGCAAGCCUGAUGCAGCCAUGCCGCGUGUAUGAAGAAGGCCAUCUGGUUGUAAAGUACUUUCAGCGAGGAGGCGUUACUCGCAGAAGAGGCGCCGGCUAACUCCGUGCCAGCCGCCACGGUAAUAC